rnacentral:misc_RNA from 1 species
UUGGGUCACUGUGGCACCUGACAGAAGACCACAGACAAAUAAUAGUGCACUACUUAUGAAAUAGUAACACAUUCUUCUUUUUAACUAACCAACUUCUUGUUUACAGUUGGUAUCGCUCUCGCCAGAAUAAGUGUCUGCAAAUAUGGUUCCAACAAGUUCCAUAAGCAACCGUACCUUUGUUACCGAAACUUCGAUCAGUUCGGAGUCAAAGGUAUCGGUCACGAUGUGGACGACAUAUGUAACGAAUUAAAAGUGAACAAGGCAGUUGAACAAGUAAACACUUACAUUGGUAAUUUCACUAAACAAAAAGGUGGGUAGUUCAAUUACAUUUUUUUCUAAAAAAAAUUGGUUGUCUGUAAAGUUGGUUGACGGACGAUAGUUUAACGUGACAGUGUCAUAACAAAACAUC